UGUUCUUCACUUACGUUCUCUCUCUUGAUUCUCCCAAAACCCCUGUGAGGCAGGUGAUGGGUCCACAGUCCUGUGUCUAACACCAGCUAAGUGCCAGGCAUGGUCCUGUGCUGUGAGGACUCAGCCAUGAGCAUAGAAGACAAGAUCCUGGCCCUGGAGCAGCCCCCUUUACAGCAGAGAGACGGACAGGAAACAAGAAAAGGGACCAAAGGAGAAGCUCAGAGACCAGGAAAGGACAGCGAGUGCACGAUGGCAGCCCGAACCAGGGUGGAGGGUAAGUGUGAAGGCUGCUGGAGGCAGAAGCAGUGCAUGUGCGGGAUCAGGAAAGGGAGGGUUGGGGGUGAGCACAGCUGGGUGGAUGGUGGAGCCGUACUUACUGAGACGGAAGACCCUGGAGCAUUGGUUUUGGGGGAGGGAAUCGAGGUUGGAUCUGGACAGUUUCCAUUUGAAGUUCCUGCUGGACAAGCACCUAAGGAUGGAUGUGAGCCCAGAGCACAGAGACCGGUCAGGAGACACCAGGUUGGAAGUCAGCAGCACAGAAGAGGUAUUUAAAGCUGAGGGACUUUAUCAGUAACCCGGGGGAGUAGGAAACAGCAAUGGGGAUGGAGGGGUACCUGCCAUCGUCUGUCAGAUGUCUGUCUGGCCCAGAGCAUCCUUCCCACUUAUCCUCCAACCUUCUGAAGUUUUCAUGGACGGUGGCCACGGUCGUGAGUGUGACUGAAGGGGACUCUCCUGAGGUUCAGGGCACAGAGGUAGUUCCCCCGGGUCUUUUGUUAGCGCAGCACCCCCACUCCCACCAAACCCAGCUGCCCUUUCACGCCUGUAUUCUAGAGCAAGUGCCCAAAUCUGUGUCCAUCUUGAUCUCACCCCUUCACCCAGAGAGAGUAAUUGGGAAAUUGACCCUCCGCCUUACUUACUGUCCACACAUGUGGCAUAGAAAGAAAUCUAGAAUUUUCCUUUUGACUUUUUCCUUCGCUGUUGAUUUGUGCCAAUGGUCAAAGUCUUGCUGGGUGAAUUCUGCUUCUCGGCCCUGUUCUUCAGGUACAGAGGGAUUCUGUUCUUGCCCAGGAGCGGGUUUCCCCCCUACCCCGCCCGCCCACAAGUAUAUUUUGCACAUAAGUUCUUAGCCACUCUCUUUCGUUGAGAUUUUUAAAGAGGGGAUGGUUUUGGCUGUCAAGUUCCUCUAACAGAAUCGUCCUUGCUACACACGAAGGCUGCUGGUUUUCCCUCUAGGAACCCCAGGCAGGCUCCCUGCUUUGCAUGUGGCUGGGUAAACUGGAGGGUGAGUCACUGGAGUGACAGCGGCAUCCGCUGCAGGGGAGCUCACGCGGGUGCUCGGCUGGGACACACGGAGCAUGUGUAGAACCAGUUGGCUCACAUUCUGCGUUGGGCAACGUGUGCAGACACAGAGGGACUCUUGUUUUUGAGUCUCUUGCUUUCCCACACCCUCUGAUACUGCCGCCCCCACCCCGCUGGCUCCUGCCAGCUCCUCGGCCCCGCCCAGGCUGAGCUGUCACCCAGCCCUGCGUUUGGGAACAAUUCCACGGCUGCCCCAGGCAGCCUCAGCUCCCCUGACUUGCUGAGGCUUUCUCCUGCUGUCUCUCAAGCCCAUCCACUUCCCUCCAUCCCUCAGUCCACCUGGCCAAGCAGGGCGGCAGCCAGCCCUUGCUGGGACGACCGCACCGGCCCCUUACUUGACCUCCUCGUCUCCUGGAGCGGUCUCUACUCACUCACUUCUCCCCCACUUGGCAGCGAGGAUGAUUUCUCUAAAUCACAAGUCUUCAUUGCAUGACUUCCCUGCUUAAUCAUUCCAGGGUUUCCUAUCGCUCUUAAGUCUGAACCGCUGAUGCACUUAGAGGAAGGCUUCUCCACUGUGACUGUGCACCAGGUCCCCUGGGGAUCUGAAAGCACGGAUUCUGAGUCAGUAAAUCUGCAAUCAGGGCUGAUAUUCUGCAUUUCUCAUAAGCUCCCGGGUGGGGCCUGUCCUGCUGGUCUGUGCAGGCCACUCUGAGGAGCAAGGACCAGGAGGUCCCCUGCCUGUCUCCCUAAUCUCAUCUCUUGCCACCUCCCCAACUCUGUUCCAGCCACACUGAACUUAUUCUAGCUCCCAGAAUGCAUCACACUUUCGCUCAUCCCUGGGCCUUUGCACGUGCACCCUCACUAGUGCACUCUUGUACCCCAGCCUGGCUGGCUUCUGCCCUUUAUUUCAGUUAGAGGGUAGAUAUCAUUUCCUCUAGGAAGUCUUCUCUGAUUCUCCAACCCCAGGGAACAAAUUGGGGAGUGUGUUUGUGGCCCAGCAGUGGUGUGAGGUGGAGGGGUAGGGUGGUAAUGAUGUUAUGCUCAGGGACAAGGUCAAAGGGGUGAGUGAGCUGAACCGUGAGGUACAAGGUGGCAGCCAGAGAGGUGGGGAGCUGUUUCCUUCUACAGAAUGUUCUAGGAGGAAGAUUCUCGUGUCCCCUGUGGUGGACAGAAGACUGUCUGACCUGAGCUUGUGCAAAGGGUCCCAGGUCUCCUGCUGAGCAGAGAGGAUCCCCGAGGAAAGGCCACUGCUUCCGCCGCACGAGGUCAGCCUCACAACUGUGUGUGUGUCCUCAGGCCACCCGAAAGUCAUGUCUGCAUGACCAAGGCCGCUACAAGGAUGAAAACUUUUUCCAGAAAGUUCUUUUUUGACACAGCCUGAGAGAGAAUCAUGGAGACAAGUUUCUACAGUAGAAAUCUUCUUUCCUUAAGAAAAUCUUUUUCUUUAAAAGUAUCCUUUAAUUUUUUUUCUCUUUCUUAGUUUAUGUGCUCCUUUGGUCCUUGUUUGAUUUUUGACUUAUAAAGUUAUUUCCUGUGCA